rnacentral:misc_RNA from 1 species
UCCGGUUUAACACCGGCAGUCUUCCUAGAGUUCCCAACUUAAUGAUGGCAACUAAGAACAGGGGUUGCGCUCGUUAUUGGACUUAACCAGACAUCUUACGACACGAGCUGACGACAGCCAUGCAGCACCUAUCACCGCGUCUCCGAAGAGAACACAUCAUCUCUGAUGCUAGCGCGGGAUGUUAAGGGUAGGUAAGGUUCUGCGCGUUGCUUCGAAUUAAACCACAUACUCCACCGCUUGUGCGGGCCCCCGUCAAUUUCUUUGAGUUUCGGCCUUGCGACUGUACUCCCCAGGCGGGAUACUUAACGCGUUAGCUGUAGUACUCAGAGGGUUAAUUCUCCAAACACCUAGUAUCCAUAGUUUACAGCGUGGACUAC